GACAGAGGAGGCAAGCGUUGUCCGGACUUACUGGGCGUAAAGCGUCCGCAGGUGGUCGUGCAAGUGCCGUGUGAAAGCGCUCGGCUUAACUGAGCGAGGCCAUGGCAGACUGCUCGACUCGAGACCGGGAGAGGUCGGUGGAAUUGCCGGUGUAGUGGUGAAAUGCGUAGAGAUCGGCAGGAACACCCAAGGGGAAGCCAGCUGACUGGCCCGGUACUGACACUCAGGGACGACAGCCUGGGGAGCAAACCGG
rnacentral:rRNA from 1 species